GAUGAACGCUAGCGGCAGGCCUAAUACAUGCAAGUCGGACGGGAUUCAGGAGCUUGCUUCUGAUGAGAGUGGCGCACGGGUGCGUAACACGUAUGUAACCUACCUUUAUCAGGGGGAUAGCCUCUCGAAAGAGAGAUUAAGCCCGCAUAAAAUCACAGCACAGCAUUGUGUAAUGAUCAAAUAUUUAUAGGAUAAAGAUGGGCAUGCGGAACAUUAGCUAGAUGGCGGGGUAACGGCCCACCAUGGCGACGAUGUUUAGGGGAUCUGAGAGGAUGGCCCCACACACUGGUACUGAGACACGGACCAGACUCCUACGGGAGGCAGCAGUAAGGAAUAUUGGUCAAUGGGCGGAAGCCUGAACCAGCCAUGCCGCGUGCAGGAAGACGGCCCUACGGGUUGUAAACUGCUUUUAUACGGGAAUAAACCCAGAUACGUGUAUCUGGCUGAAUGUACUGUAAGAAUAAGGAUCGGCUAACUCCGUG
rnacentral:rRNA from 1 species